GCGCAGGUUUGUUAUUACCCUGAAAUAGAAUAGUUUUCUGAAAGCAUACUGUUAGGUUUACAAUAAUUUGGAUUAUUAAGAAGUAUUAGCUUUACAGCUGAAUACAAGGCAUGACCUGUGGCCUAGCAAUGCAGCUGACCACAAGGCAGAAUGAUAGCUAGGCCUUUGCUUGUGUCAAGUAAUCUUUUUAACUGCAACAAGCAUUUUCUGAGUUAAAAAGUGAAUCUGUGUCUGUGUGCUAAAAAAAAUCAGCUACAGCAAGAAGUAAGAUAAGACAGAGAAACCAUUGUUUUAAGCUUACUGGUUGCGUCCUUGAGAAGUAUCUUCUACUGUGUAAGGUUUUGCUAACAUAUUAUAAUGUUACUGUUACUUAACUUUUAGCUUUUAAAAGUGCUAGUUCAGCUUAAUAGAAAUAUGCUGUUACAAAGAUUUGUAGAGCACCGCCCCAAGUAUUGCUUUUUGUUAACCAUAUAGUCUUGCUUUGUUAUAAGAAGUAUAAAAGAUCGCCUCACCCUUGAGGGGGGGCCAUUUUGCCUUUUGCUGGCUUUAUGGUCUUUGCUCGAGCAAAUAAACAGCUGUCUUCCUUUACCCGCGUUGUCUGUCAAUCAAAUUACAGCUAGACAACGGACCUUAGGGAGGUUUCUCCCACCACACCCAGCAUCCAGGUACUCGGAACCUCAAACUCAGGGUGGGUAAUACGUUGCCAAAUCCAAUGAGAGUGUUGCGGUAGAGGACAACCAACUCUAGGUAAAUCUCUAGCAGCUCACUAGGAUAUUCAGGCCCUGAAGCUGCACAUGGGACAGUAGCCACACUUGGCAGCCAGGUUGCAGGCCCAGGGUCACUGCCAUCUAUAGCCAGGGCCCUGUGGAUGCACCGGCUCUGCCAGAGGAGUACCCAGGCCCACACCAUCCUUCUGGACUAGCUUGUGAUGGUGUCAGAGGACUGUAUGGCAAAAUCACAGGCCUGGCAGGUGGAGGACAUGGCUCUCAAGGAGGUCCAAGACUGGUUCAAGGGGGCAUAGGACCAGAUAGACCGGGAGUUCCAGGCACAGCUCCUGAACCUGGAGCACAAGCACAUGGAAGCGCUGCAAGAGAAGACCACAGUCCUGGGCAGGGCAUUGCAGAACAUGGAUGAUGACCACCAGGUGCUGGACACCUUCCUGGCCCUUGUGGUUACCUUCAUGCCGCCCACUGCCCGGUCCUUGACCCUAGCCCCACUUGCCCCUGAGAGCCUCCCAUAACCCAGAAUCAGGCCCCUCUGGGCCUGGGAAGAGAUUAAGUACUACCUUCACCAACCAUUAGCCCCUGCCCCAGUCUCCACCCCAGGUCCCCUGCCACCCCCCCACCCACAGGGACCCAGGUCCAUUGCUAACCCCUGCUCCCCACAGGCAUGGAGCUGGAGCUGCUUUCAUUGGCUCCAGAACCACACACCAGCCAUGCUGGCCCUGGGCACUGGCUGCCAGAGAGGGAGCCACCCAUGCUGGGAGACCAGCAGCUGCCAUCACCUCUGGGCAAGCCCCCCAUCUGCCAGAUUUGCUGUGGCAUGCACACCCAUAAGGGAACAGCCAAAGGCCAUGGUGCUGUUUACCUGUCCCCAAGCUGUCCACCUGUGCCCCCUAGGCACCCCCACCCCAUGGCCCUCCACCCCGGGAUGGCUCAGAGACCACAAUGUAAAUAAUUUGCACAGGGAAGAGGGUGUUUUGUUGGUGGUGGGUAGUAUGGGUAGUGGAGGGUCUCUGUAGUUGAGGGAAAGGGGUGAGGGGGGGUUCUAUUUGUUAGGGAGUGGUCUGUUUGAUGUGAGGGGAAUAAAACUUAUUUUUCUGAGACAUGUCUGCAGAGAGCAUGAUGCUGGGCAUGGGCAAAGGAGUGGUGAAAUGGCAUUUAGAGGUUUGUUUGGGGGAAUUGGCUUAUAGGUAAAGUAGAUAUGUAUUAGAAUAAUGAUCCAGUGCAACACAAAGUGUUAACUGAUUUCUAAAAGCCUGUUUCUGAAAGUUUCCUCAAGGCUUGCAGGGGGUCUGUGGGUGGCUUUCCAGGUGGGCUACAGCAGGGAGUGCAGAAGGAAGUGAUUGGCCAGCACUUCCUGAACCCAGUGAAACCAUGUGCCCCAGCACAUCUUGGAGGAUGCCACACACCUCCAGGGCAGCCUCCCCAGAGGUGGCCUUGCCCACCCCAAAGAGAUGGCCCACAUAGUUGAGGCUGGUGGUCAUGAGCAGGAUGAGGGCCAGCCGGGUGCAGGGAGGGGAAGCCACAUGUUGGUGUCCUGCCAUUACAAGUCUGAGCAGAGCUGCUCCAGUAGGUCCCAGAAAGUGACCCAGGUCAUCUGGAAUGCCUCCAGCCACUCCUCAACAACCCCAGGUGUACUGGACAAUGUGCAGCCACCAGUCAUGGCUGGCCUGAUGGGCCCAGAAGCCACGGGACUGGAGGCCCAGGAGGGCAAGGGUGGCCCCAGUGGGGGUGUCCAGAAGCCCAUCAUUAGCAUCCAUGACAGGGUCCAACCAGAGGGAGAAGGUCCAGGUGGUAGCUGCACAGCAUCAGUGGCAGCUCUGGGACAGCAUGUUACAAGGGCCCACAAGGCCCAGGGCCACCCAGUGGUUGGUGUGGCAGGCCAGCAGGAGCAUGGGGUGCUAGUAGUUGCUGCUAGGGGCAAAGGCUGGACCAGCCAUAGCUCAGGGAGGCAGAUGUGGUGAAGAGAGAGAUGCUUCAUGCUGCCUCUGUGCUGUGCAUGCUGCUCCUGGCCAGGGAAGAGGCUGGCCAGAAGCAGCCUUUCCAGGAUGCUGCUGCAGCUGGCACCUGCUGUCAGAGCCUUGAGAUCCUUCCAGUGGUGGCAGGGGCUUGUUGCAAGACCACAGGAAGUGGUACCAGUUUGCUGCUAAGAGCAGCAAUCUGCUCCCUUAUCCCUGCACUUGUAGAUGCCUGCCCAGAGUGUUUACUCACAAGUUGUUGACUUGCAGGUAAAUUGAUCUCAGAUCAAAUGCAUGUGCAGACAUGUCCAGUGGCUUAAUAUUUUUUUUGUUUCCUCUUGUAGAAAAGCUAACAUGCUGUACAAUAUUGUCUUUCUUUAAGAAAUGUAAUUGUUAUAUUGCUUCUCUUUAUUUCCUUUAAUAUUUAUAUUUUUGAUACAUUCAUAUAAUACUUUUUUUAAUGUGAAAAGUGUUCAGAAUUUUCAUGGUGCUCCUUGUUUCUGGAUAAAAUUUUCUAUGGCUUUGAUUAUACUCUUCCUUUCUUAAUUAACGUCAUUAGACUCUUCUCUGUUAGUUAUCAAUAAAAUGAUAGCCUCCAGCUAUUCAAUUCCUGUAAAUGGGAAUGAUAUAAUAUUUGUAUUACCCAAUAUUUCUUUUUUUUUUCUUCAUAAUUGAAUAUAAUUGAAUUGGUAAAGUUCAUGUGUCAAACCUCUCAGGAGCUCAUUAGUAUGAGCUCAGUGCCACACAAAGAUAGGAAGAGGAUUUCCAAUCCAUGAUGUCAUGUACUUAGAGUUGGCACAGCAAAACUGAGUACAUUGGUAUGAAAGUUUGUAUUGAGGUAAUAUAAAUAUGAUCCUAGAAUGUCCAUUUGUCUUUUACAUUGAUGUCCAUAGCUUCACACAUAGGGCAUGUACAGACAUCAGACUGGUCUAAGUGAAUGUAGAUCUAUCUAAAUCUGUAACCGUACAAAAGUUUGGCGCUCAUAGACCAUUCUAAAAAAAGUGCAUGUGACAUAAGAUAGACCUUGUGCAAAAUGCCUGGGAAAUGCUUGACAGAUUUUCUUUAUUAAAAACAGGAAAAGUUUGGCAAUGACAACAUUAUAAACUGAGGCACAUCUCUUCCUCGGACUGCAUUCCCUAACAUGCUGGUGUAUGCCCCUUGGGAGAAGGUAUGUGUGGUUAAGGAACGGUGUCCAGGCACCCAGGGUUGUGGGCAGCACCACCCAGGAUGUAGGGCCAGAAGAGCUUAAGGCAGGAGAUUCAUCACCUGGUGCUAGGCACAGGCACUUGGGGACUUAAAACACUCCCAUCUUCCUAGAUGUCCAGCAUUAUCCACUCCCACCAAUUGCUGCACAGGCCCAGAAUUAGCACUCAGUGGUCUGGAGGUGGUGUCAGAGCACCCCAGAGUCCAUGGCAUCUUGAGUAGUCUCAUCAUCAUUGGCCACUUGGAAGUCCGUGGUGUAGUCUAGGAUGCUUGGUGGGUGCAGGGUGUGAUAGCUGCCCAAGGCAUGUCCCAUGGUGACCAGCUGCCAGAUCAUGUCCAAAUGGCCACAUGUGAUGUCCUGCAACCUCUGAUGAGAGUCACACAGGGUGACAAGCAGGGCAACACAGCUCUUGGAUCGGUGUACUUCGGGUAGAGCAGUGGAGCACAAUGGCAGGGUACGUGUAGGCUGGUACAUGGAGGCAUGUGCAAUUAACAAAGGAGGGCACUUGUUCUGGGGCUCUUCUGGCAUCCCCUGGGCAGGGCAUGGGGGACAGUCCACAGUGAGGUGCUAGGGGGGGGUUUAGAUCAUGUUACAGCCAAUCAGAGGUGGCCUGGACAUUCAGCUGCAAUUGGAAGUCUCCAGCAGUCCAGGAAGCCCACAGGGCAUGCUGGGAGGUAUGUGGGAGUACCCCCACCCCUCCUCCACCUGGAGGUCUUUGCCAGCACAGUCUGCCUGAUCGUCCUCCUCCCCCCACCCACCAUGAACAUGUAUGCUAUUUGCUCUUGAGCUAAACUUGUACACUUAGGGAAAAUGAGGUAACUUAGAUCAAGUCCUCCUUUGGCUUUUUCAAUGUCUGUAUAUGGCCAUUUGGUUCAGUUAAUGCUUCGCAGUUCUGGCUUGCAACUAUCAAUAUAAUCCUUUCUAUUAUUUAGUUGUGACCAGAUUUACUUACCUACCCUUGUUAAGAUGUUUCAUCUUUAUCCACUCAGAGCAAACAACUAAUUUAAAAGUGAUAUGAGAUUAAAGGUAAUCACAACAUUUUCAUUGUCAGAAAAGUAAACAUCUCUCUCGUUAGUGAAAGUCAACAAAAUGGAGUUCACUGAGCUCAAUAUCAAUAUUGUCUUUCAAUGCAGAAUCCUGUGUCUUACUGUGCUUGAAAAUUGUGGUGAAUGAUAAAUGGCACAUCACAACAUAUUAGAAGAUAUUACAUAGCAGCUUCCAUUAUCCAUAACUGAAAACAAGUGGUGCUAAUGCCUGCCAGGAAUUAUAUUGUAAUAUGGCAGCAACUUGUAUUGUCUGUCUUGCACAGAAAAUUUUCCUUAUCAUGGGGAGGAAACCCCCCCCCCCCCAACAUACAUUAAUAAGGUUGAUUGCUUUUUAACUCUUCAGGGAGUUAGGUUACAAGCUGAGGCCUUAUAAUAAGAACCUCAAAAGGAAAGAAAUAGGAUGGAUUCUUUUUAAUUGGUUUCAUAAAAUGGAGCACAGUGUAAUAAUCCAUGUGCAGGUUUUCUUUCUUUCUUUCUUUAAUUUAAUGAAUUGAAUCAUAUGACUUACCGCUACAAUAAUUGUUUCUUCUGGCAUGUAUAACAAACAUAUUUCCAAUGCAGUUGAAAAUAUAGGGUGUGUGUAGAUGAAACGAUAUUUCCUGUUUACGUUAAUGUGACUGCGUUUGUGUUUGCAUGACCCAAGAUUUCCCGAUGCUCUAAAGUCCAUUUAGCACCUUAAACUAAUGCUACUCAGAGGUGUGUUAAUUUGUGGUGCUCUCCAGUUAUGCUGCUCCAACUGUGGAUUUGCACGAACAAAUCCGACUGUGGAUUUGUUCAUGCAAGCAGCCAGAGACCAUGAAGACUUCUAAUUAAUCCACUUGGCCACGAGGGGACACUGUGUUCCGGCCUUUAGCCAGUAAGUGCUGCUGUGUGUUCUUUUUUACCCUCCUUCACUCCUCCCUCACAACACGCAG